UACGUAGGGGCAAGCGUUGUCCGGAUUUACUGGGCGUAAAGAGCGUGUAGGCGGCUUGGUAGGUCCGCUGUGAAAACUCGAGGCUCAACCGUCGAGAUGUCGGCGGAAACCACUUGGCUAGAGUCCGGAAGAGGAGAGUGGAACUCCGAGUGUAGAGGUGAAAUUCGUAGAUAUUCGGAAGAACACCAGUGGCGAAGGCGGCUCACUGGUCCGGUACUGACGCUGAGGUGCGAAAGCUAGGGGAGCAAAGCGGG
rnacentral:rRNA from 1 species